AUGGCACUGCAUAAGGACUACAUCUGUGAGGACACGGCCGCUGAAGGGUUGUGGGGACGACGGGGCGGAGCGCACUCAGCUCCUGCUCAGCUGCAGCACCACCGACCCCACUGGAACACUCAGCUCCUGCUCAGCUGCAGCACCACCAACCCCACUGGAACACUCAGCUCCUGCUCAGCUGCAGCACCACCGACCCCACUGGAACACUCAGCUCCUGCUCAGCUGCAGCACCACCGACCCCACUGGAACACUCAGCUCCUGCUCAGCUGCAGCACCACCGACCCCACUAGAACACUCAGCUCCUGCUCAGCUGCAGCACCACCGACCCCACUGGAACACUCAGCUCCUGCUCAGCUGCAGCACCACCGACCCCACUGGAACACUCAGCUCCUGCUCAGCUGCAGCACCACCGACCCCACUAGAACACUCAGCUCCUGCUCAGCUGCAGCACCACCGACCCCACUGGAACACUCAGCUCCUGCUCAGCUGCAGCACCACCGACCCCACUAGAACACUCAGCUCCUGCUCAGCUGCAGCACCACUGCGCUAUGUGUUAAGACAUAUUACUACUCAAUUCAACUUGCCAACAAAUCUACAAUCACAUAAUCUGGACUGAUAUAGGAAAGGCAUAUGAUCCAUACUGUACUUUCUCAGCCAAUACAAAAAAGUUCCCAUUGUGUGUUUGCAUCUUUAUUUCCAUCUAACUUUGAUUUAAACAGGACUUUAAGGUCUUGACUGUUUCACAGCUGGUUAGAGUGGUCAGGUGUUGAAAUGAUUUAUACGUAGAAUUGGAGAGCUUUGAGACUCUGAUAUUCAGUUUUAGCAGGUUUUUUCCAUUACAACAUAACCUGUGUUAUACUGUGUCAUAUCCAUGUUAUUAAGCACUGUACAUGUCCCAUGUAGCUCAGUUAGUAGAGCAUGGCGCUUGCAAUGCCAGGGUUGUGGGUCUGAUUCCCAUGGGGGACCCGUACGAACAAGUAUGAAUAUGUAUGUACUCACUACUGUAAUUCGCUCUGGAUAAGAACAUCUGCUAAAUGACUAAAAUGUUAUGUAAAUAUAAUAAUCUAGCACUCAUCUGCAGUACUUUUCUGAGAAGAACCUGUAUAUUAAUACAACUUCACAUUCACGCAUUAUUCAUAACAAGUGUAAAAUGAGCCCUGUCCAGAAAAAUUACAUUUUAAU
rnacentral:lncRNA from 1 species